CGGGUCACGGGAAAGCCUUUUGCGCAGCUUUGCGUUGAGGCCGCCGCAGCGUUUUGCCCUUGGGCUUCCAUUUUUGUCCUUCCUCCCCCUUAACGACUUUGGGCCUGGUCCUCAAACCGAUCUUCCAUUCAGCCGGAUUUCAUCAGAAUUGCGCGACCUGGGCUCGCUGGACAAGGCCGUCCCGCCAGCCCGUUAUAGGCUCGGUGACCUUGAGCCUCAGGGUCAGUCCACAGCCUGCGAAAGGAGGGGCGAGGCUCAUGCAGGGUGCUACCCGCGUGCUGCGGGAGUGCAGUGUGCAGGAAAUGAUCUUCCCCUCCCCUCUCGCGCUCCGCCUGUGUGAGACCUCUGCGUCUCUUACCCGCAUCCCUACUUAUCUGAUGUUGCACAUCUUUGCUUCAACAAAGCAGCGUGAUGUGCUGUGCCUUGGUUGAAGCUACCGUUGCGCCUUUGUGCCUGACAUGCUUGACUUGGAAGGCGUUUGCUGUGCACCUUGUUCUUGUUGAUAUCUUUGGGGCAUAAUCUCAAAAGUUGGUAUUUUUCCUGAAUGUACUGCUGCUUGAUAAUUCGCACCAUUUCUUCUGUGCAUUCACCCCUUUACUGAACUCGUGUACUUGUACAUCUUUGAAUACUGUGUAUUAUGGCUCCUAAAUUUAUAUUUCCAGCUGAGCAUGCUUCUGAACUGCAUAUUUAAAUAGCCAUUGCCUUAACAUGUCCGUUUAAAUAUUUCAUAGACAUCUUGAAUUCAAAAUAUGCACACAGCCCCUGAUUUGCCUACCCAAAUCUGCUUCUUACAGCCCUUGUCUGUAACUCAUAGCUAUUUCAAUUUUUUAGGUCUACAGUCCUUGUGUCAUCAUACCUGACCCCACAUUUAGUUCGUAAGCAGAUUGAGUCGGAUCUCUCAGGAAAUAUUCCUAGACUGCCCCCCCUUAACCCCUCCUCCACUGCCACCGGAGUAGUCCAAGGCACCCACCUGCCGUGCUGCACUCUAGGGUCCUGCUUCCCUGCUUCACUCCGUUUGCGUCCUUACCACACCUCAGUUUGUAGUCUCCCUCUCAUACAGGCAGUGGGGAUCUUGGACUUGUCUUCAAUAUUUGGUACCUGACUAGGAGGGACCACCUAAACUAAGGCCUGAAAGGGAAGACCCACUCAAGUGGGAAAGAAAGAAGACAAUUUACAAAUAUGGGGACUCCUGAUUGAACACAGAAGGUAAAGCACUUGGUAUUAAAUACCAACAGGCUGUUAAAAAGGCAACUAUGCAAGAUGUUCUUGGACCUCGUUGUUUGCUGAUGGUGGUUAAAAUGAUCCCAGAUUUUAGGCCUGUUUUCUCUAUCUGCACACUGCUGAUCUUUAGCUCUUCUACUGUUCCUCUCAGCAUUGUGAGAGUCCUCAGGGAGUUUUUCCCUGCGACCAGAGACACACGUAGCCUUACUAAUGGACCCACGACCUUGUUGACAUCAUGCUUUCCUUCCCAUUCCUCUACACAUCUCAUUAUUGUUUAGUAAUGUUCCUAUUUCAGUGACCACAUUGAUCAUACUGCAUGAAUAUCCAAAAAAGCUUGUGACAACAAAGCUGUGUGGUUUGUGACAAAUUGCGAGUUAACUCUAUUAAUUUAAAAUAAAUGUCUUGGGGCUGGGGAUUUAGCUCAGUGGCAUAAGCACCUGCCUAGCAAGCAGGCAGUCGUGAGUUCGAUCCCCGGUACCAAUAAAAAGAAAAAAGAAAAAAAAAUUACAUAAAAUAAAUGUCUUAAAUUUGCCUACAUACUUAACAUGAUAAAGUUUGGCAAAAGCAGCCUCCGUACCUAGUAACCUAGCUUGAUAAGCAAACCAACCAACCAACCGAGGUUUCUGCCAGUUGAGUUCCAGCCAACCACAGCUGCCAGCUGGACAGACCAUAUCCCUGUGAGGGAAAAGCCAACGGUAGCCAAUCAGGUUCUUUCUGCACAUCAUUUCCUUUUCGCUGGCUGUAAAAUAGCUUGUACAUGGGAUGGGGUGGGGCACUCUGAACCAUCUGUGGCUUGGAAUGUCAUCCAGCUUUUGAAAGUUCUCCCUGCUCAAAUUUAAACUGAACUCAUCUCCGUUUUUCUUUCAACACAUGCCUCUCCUCUUUGUGGUUGUCAGAUUGAGGGAAUGGACAGUGCAGUGUUCAUAUACAGGUGCCUCAGUGUUCUAUAGCAUGCUCAAUGAAGGCUCUUCCAGUUUUUGGGUUUUUGGGUUUUUUUACUUGAGGCCUUUACUUGGUCUGGAAUCCAGACCUGAAUCUAUGGGCCUGGGCUGGGAACACACGUUAAGUAACAGUUACAAGGCUAUCUGUUUGCUUCCCUGGUGACAAAGGUCAUGGUCCUGAAGGGCUCCUUAUGCCCCCCUUCUCCAUCAUCCAAGAGGCACUAUAGCUCCCUUCAAUUAGACUUCAUAGUUUAUCCAAAAUGGCUCAUAGUUCAAGCAAAACACAAAGCUUAAGCUCUUUUUCAUAGGCUUCUCAGACCCGAGGGAAAAAGGCUGACUUCACAAAUUCCCCAGACAGGUUCAAACAAGCGGAAGUCCAAGGGAGCUUCAGCUCAGACUCAAGCUGAAACUGUGCUAUCCUGAUGCACAGGAAAAUCUUCCAAUGAACUCAGCAGUGACAAACCUUCAAAUCACACAAGGUCACCCCCACACCCUUGGCAAUAAUAACAGCUCCAGCAGCCACAGACUGUGAGGUGGCAGAGCAGUUUAGAGGCCACUAAAAGAUACAGAAGCCAACCACCCCACAGGAUACUCUCUCAAGAGCAGGACUAAGUUUGGACUUCAGCAGCUCUGUUGAAAUUCCUCCAGGAUACUCCUGAAGCUGAGAUCUCAGGUUGCUUGUCUGUAUACUAGGGUAUAGACUGGCAGCACAUAUGCAUUAUUAAAAUAGUUGCUAUGUUCA